rnacentral:rRNA from 1 species
UGGGGAAUAUUGCACAAUGGGCGCAAGCCUGAUGCAGCCAUGCCGCGUGUAUGAAGAAGGCCUUCGGGUUGUAAAGUACUUUCAGCGGGGAUGAAGGGAGUAAAGUUAAUACCUUUGCUCAUUGACGUUACCCGCAGAAGAAGCACCGGCUAACUCCGUGCCAGCAGCCGCGGUAAUACGGAGGGUGCAAGCGUUAAUCGGAAUUACUGGGCGUAAAGCGCACGCAGGCGGUUUGGUAAGUCAGAUGUGAAAUCCCCGGGCUCAACCUGGGAACUGCAUCUGAUACUGGCAAGCUUGAGUCUCGUAGAGGGGGGUAGAAUUCCAGGUGUAGCGGUGAAAUGCGUAGAGAUCUGGAGGAAUACCGGUGGCGAAGGCGGCCCCCUGGACGAAGACUGACGCUCAGGUGCGAAAGCGUGGGGAGCAAACA